UCGCAGGCUGCAACCCGCCUGCGUGAAGUCGGAAUCGCUAGUAAUCGCGGAUCAGCAUGCCGCGGUGAAUACGUUCCCGGGCCUUGUACACACCGCCCGUCACACCAUGAGAGUCGGGAACACCCGAAGUCCGUAGCCUAACCGCAAGGGGGGCGCGGCCGAAGGUGGGUCCGGUAAUUGGGGUGAAGUCGUAACAAGGUAGC
rnacentral:rRNA from 1 species